AACGAACGCUGGCGGCAUGCCUAACACAUGCAAGUCGAACGAGACCUUCGGGUCUAGUGGCGCACGGGUGCCUAACGCGUGGGAACCUGCCCUUAGGUUCGGAAUAACUCCCCGAAAGGGGUGCUAAUACAGGAUAAUGUCUUCGGACCAAAGAUUUAUCGCCUUUGGAUGGGCCCGCGUUGGAUUAGCUAGUUGGUAGGGUAAAAGCCUACCAAGGCGACGAUCCAUAGCUGGUCUGAGAGGAUGAUCAGCCACACUGGGACUGAGACACGGCCCAGACUCCGACGGGAGGCAGCAGUGGGGAAUAUUGGACAAUGGGCGAAAGCCUGAUCCAGCAAUGCCGCGUGAGUGAUGAAGGCCUUAGGGUUGUAAAGCUCUUUUACCCGGGAUGAUAAUGACAGUACCGGGAGAAUAAGCUCCGGCUAACUCCGUG
rnacentral:rRNA from 1 species